GACGUAGGGUCCAAGCGUUGUCCGGAAUCAUUGGGCGUAAAGCGCGUGUAGGCGGCCAGAAAAGUCCGCUGUGAAAACUCGAGGCUCAACUUCGAGCUGUCGGUGGAAACUUUCUGGCUAGAGUCCGGAAGAGGAGAAUGGAAUUCCUGGUGUAGCGGUGAAAUGCGCAGAUAUCAGGAGGAACACCGAUGGCGAAGGCAGGUCUCUGGGCCACUACUGACGCUGAGAAGCGAAAGCAUGGGGAGCGAACAGG
rnacentral:rRNA from 1 species